rnacentral:rRNA from 1 species
CCUGUCACAUCAUGAAAGCCGUUUGUACCCGAAGUCGUCGUGCUAACCGCAAGGAGGCAGAUGCCGAAGGUAUGGAUGGUGAUUGGGAUG